rnacentral:rRNA from 1 species
UGAGCAAUCUGCCCUUCACAUCGGAAUAACCAUUGGAAACGAUGGCUAAUACCGAAUAUGACUUCGGAUCGCAUGAUCUGAAGUGGAAAGCUCCGGCGGUGAAGGAUGAGCUCGCGGCCUAUCAGCUUGUUGGUGAGGUAAUAGCUCACAAGGCGAUGGACGGGUAGCCGGCCUGGAGGAGGGUGACCGGCCACGACUGGGACUGAGACACCGGCACGACCG